GCACAGUGCGGAGCUGGCGCUGCAAUGCAGCGGUGCAGAGGUUCCAGGAGCCCGCGGCGGGCGCCCACCAACACAGUGAUGGAGCCCAGAGCCCAAUCCCACAAUGCUCAGGCACGGGGCUGGGGGUGGGCUGCCUUGUUGGGGUUUGCUUGUGACAAUGGGAGGGGUGUACAGUGUGGGAGAGUGUUGAGGAUUCACUGAGUCGUUCUGCAGGAGGAAUUGGGCUAGGUCCUUCAGGGCGCGCUGCUGCCCUCGAGGGCUUAGAGCGUGACAAGAAAUAGGACAAGACCCGGAUAAGGAAGCCUCUGCAGAACACAGCGCCAGAGUGCCUUGGGGGAAAUGCAAGAGGUGUGUUUUUCUGGAGGUUCCUACACCUAUCGCCUCUUUCCCUGCGGCUGCUUUUCUGUUUUAGGGGAACAAGGUGUGGAUCGUUUCGUCCGGUCUCUGCAAAUCCGAUGGGUUUUCAGUAGGGCCGAGGCUGUCUGUACAGCUCAUUUAUCCCAAUCAAUAUAGCUGCUCUCUUUUUAACGUGGCAGAGAAAGCUUUCCGUUAAAAUUACAGCCUUGGCGACAGCAAUUCGCGUGGCCCUGGCUUGCCUGGUAUUGUGCAAGUGGCUUGGCUUACCGCCUCAUCUGCGAAAUGACCUUUUGUCUUUUUCCGGCACUUUUAAGAAAAUGGAACUGAAGUUGCUACAGUGAAUAACUAUUGAUGUAGUAUAACAGCUACCAAUAUUAAGUGGAAAAUUUGUGCUAAAACACACUUUUUAACAAGAUAAAAUCAUGACUCACAAAUGUCACAUGACUACACGAUGGAGAUUUUACAUAACCCAUUAAAUAAUUAGGGAAUGAGCAGGAUGCCAAAUGAGUUCAAAGGAGAAUUAUGAAGAAUACACAACACACACACACACACACACACACACACACACACACACACACCCUAUAGUGGAAUAAAGUAGAAUGUGUGAAAUUGCUUUUGCAUUCUCACAAGAUGAAAUCAAAUCUGUUCCAGACAAAAAUACAUGGUUUAUAGAUGAAAACCAUUUACUUUGCCAUUAAAUCUUCAAACUUAAUGUCUAGUUCCUCAGAAUUGUAAAACUACUAGGUCAAUCAUAGCAGCCAGGGUGCACAGCCGAUAGAAUCAGUCCCAGGGAGACCCCUUGGCAGUGCCCACUCUGCCACUGAACAGGCCUUCAUAGUUAAAGAUGAGCCGGAGGACCACACGCCUUUGGACUUGGAGACAGGAAAGAUGUCCAAGUGAAAAGCCUGCUGAUUGGAUGACUGGAGGAGAGGCUGUACUUGUGAUGUCAUCUUAGAAACAUUUUGGGUGUCUAGGAGCAAGACCAUCAACCAUCCUUAAGAUGUGAGGCAUUGGAGAAAUCGCUGGAGUUGGGCUUUGCUGACCGGCUGCUUAGAGAGAAGCUGUUGUCUAUUGAUCUCUCUCUAAGCACCACAGCCUCCGCAGGAAUGGGGGAUCCAAGGGCAGAGGAGACUUAGACCCCAGACACAUGAAUCAGUGCUAAGCUAGUGGGUCACAGAAUAGCGUAGCUUCCUCUUCAGAGAUUCCCUGAGUCACGUUUGCUAACAUAUCUCCACCAUGAAGAUCCUGAGAGGCUGGUAUCCAUACCAACACCAUCGGUUUCCAUUCCCUCAGUAUCUAUAUGAACAUUUUCAGUCUCUGUCACGGAAUGGCAGAAAAGUAAGUGUUGUGACUUUGCAAUCCACUUUGACAAUGAUGAGAAUUAGACCAACGAAGAGCCUGGGGGACGUUUUCUCCUAGCUUUAGAAACCAAGCUACAGCCACACUGAGUGUCACUUACAGACGGAUGAGUCCCUCAAACUCAAAAGUGGGCUAAACUCUUAUUUUCCUUCCUGGUUUUGAGAUUAGACUGCCAGUUUCUCAAGGUCACCGCUGGGGGGACUGGAGAUGAGGUGUGGCAGAUGGGCUUCUGGGUUGCAACUCUCGGUGACGUGAUGGGGUUGGGGGGAGACCAAGGAGAAGGAGAAGAAAACACACUGUGAUGACUCGAAUAUGAUUUAUGCGUGGACAGGCAAGGAGAUCUCUUUUCCUUGCUUGGGUCACAUCAUUAAGUCUAAUUAAUGGGAACUGAUCAUAGGGGGAGUUCAGAAUCUAUUUUCGGUUGUCCUUAUCCAAAGGCAGCAAUCAAAAUGCAGAUGAGCUAUCUCUGUCUUACCCCAGGAGAGACACAGGCUUCUUGCUAAUGAAGGGAAAUUGGUAAACGAAUGCUUAUCACGCCUUCCCUGUCUUUGACGGCUUCUUGGAGUGGCAGUACAGGCAGGCAGACAUUUCAUGUUCUGAAAUGGUGCCACCCGGUAUCGACUGUCUCUUUUUCCAGAGAGUCUGAGUGCCGCUCCAAUGCUGUCUUCUCACCGCUGCUGAGAGAGAGGCAGGGGCCAAGGACUCUCUCCUUUAGCCCUAACCUGAACAAAGCUAAGUGGCUUUCCCAGAGCAAGCCAGACCACGGAGGAUCUUUAACCAGAAAGGGCGCUUCGGGGCAUACAGUUGGGCAGCAUUAGCAAUCCAUUCUCAUUCCGACCUUCAGCCUCAAUAAUUAGAGCCUUCUUGUCUAACUGAACAAGAAAGAUCUGGGGCAGUGUGGGACAGAAUUAGAAAUAACCCACCAGGAGGUCCAAAGUCACCCCACUGAGGACAGCCUUGAGCUGUAGCCCAAUGGAGAAGACCAACCUGCUGGAGGCAGGCAGAGGCAUCCGGAGCUGUGUGCUUCCUUGUUGGUUUUUUAAACAGAAAAAUGGCUCCCAUCAAAUGCUCUGACACACAAAUCAUCUCUGGAUGAAAUGGAAGUGCACCCCUUUCCCAGCAGGGUGAUAAAUUAACCUGCAGCUGCGGCGGCUGUGGGGUCACCACUCGGUCCCCAUCCAGUCUGUCCCAGGAGAGUUCCUUUCUCCUCUCCAUGCCAGCACUGCCAUAUUUAGCUCUUCCAGCAUGUGCACCAUCUAUAUUUAGUAUCUAAAAGUCAGAGUUCAGUGUACAAUUCACCAGGCUAUCAGUCAUCCCUUCAUUCCAUUCACACUUGUAGAAAAAUCCUUCCAAGAGACUGCCUUGCUCUCCGGGAUGUGGGGUGGUGGUGAUGGUGGUGGAAGCCAUUCCAAGAAUGAAGGGUUGAACUCCAGAGGGGGUUUCCUGCUGUCUCUGGCAUGCAGUGAGUGCCUGAGAGUGCCAGACCCCGAGCCAAGAGUCCGGGCAUGGGUGUGGCUCCAGAGGGCAACAGGAUGGUGGAGGGCAGGUGGAAAGGCUCAGGGGUGAAGAGCAGAUCCUGCUGUGCUCACGUGGUCCCUGUUGAAAUUGCAGAAAACUGGCCAUGACUCAUUAAGUCUCCUACUUAGGUGCCACCUUUUGGUGGAAGAUUUCCGUGAGACCCCUCAAAUAAAUUAGGAGCCCUCCCGAGGUAGCAUGUUCCUCCAUGACUCUCUAUACACCAGUUCCCUGUCAAACUUCAGUGUGCGAACAAAUGACUUGGGACAUAACUAAAAUUCAGAUUCCGACUCGGUGUCUCUGGCGUAGGCCUCUGCUCCUGCCUUUUCAGCGAGCUCAAAGGAGAUUCCCAUGCCGCAGGCUGAGCCAGCGCUUCCGAAGUCAUCACCUGGCCAUAAGAUUUAAAUAAAGUGCCGGGCUGCACCAUUCAAACACAGACAGCAUAGCUUGGCCCGGACAUGAAAAGGAACGUCUGGUUCUGUUGCAUCAGAACAGGACCUGCCAUGUGUCCAACACACUUCCCUUUGGAAGUGGAUAUACGAUUCAUUCAACCUGUGGCUGUAUCCUUUCACUCCAGUUCUUUAGAUCCUAGCUUCCUCUUCUAGAAAUCACUUAACUGUUGCUCAUUUUAAAAUAUGAACUGUGGAAUUAAGAGGAAGCCUGUGUCUGCUAUGAACUCAACAAAAAGCCCCCUAGAGGAUGCAUCAAACUGAGUUCUUCUUUGAAGAAUUAAGAAUUAGUCAAGGAAGGAGGGGUGAACACAGUAAAGGAGAUAGCGUUUGCUCGCGCGUUUAUUGUGCUGUGCAGUAAACAAAUAAGUUUCAGAUAAGGUAGAGACGGGAUAAGAUGAGAUCAACUCAAAUAGUUCCACCAGGCAGACUCUUUCUUGUGGGGUUAAUCUUCCCGAGGAGUCUGAGCUUUAUUCUAAAGGCUGUAGGAACCUGGCAAAGGAUGGAAAGCAGAUCAGUAGAAGCAGUGGGGACAAGGAUUACAAGGGAAGCUGAACCCUGGGGAAGAUGGUGGUGACCUUAUGGGGAAGUGCUCCGAGACCACUUGAGGCUGGGGUGUAAUCCAGAGAAAUGAAGGAAGAAGAAUCCAUAGAUCCUGAUGAUAUAACCGGUCAACUUGGACUUAAAAGUUGUGAGAGAAUAAACAAUGAAAAGUCUCAUAGGUUUUGGUAUCUAAAAGACUGAGUGGGGAGUAUACAAUUUGCCAAGACUGUCUUCUGAGGAUCUGGGACACGUACUCACAACGUGUAUCUGAUGAAGAGUGUCUUGCAGAAAACCUGCACCUGCUUAUGUUUCCUUGUGUUCUUGGUUAACUUGUUGGAUUUCCAUUGGAUUGGCCCUCCAGUAACAUGGAAAGCUUGUAGCUUUGGAGCAAAGAAGUGACAUGACCCAGUGACAUCUCAGAAGAUCACUCUGGCUACGGAUUAGUAAACAGAUGAUAAAUGAACAAGGAUGGAAGAAAGAAGGUCAGUUUGUUGUCUUCAAAGUAACAGAAAAGAUAUUGGAGUCUUCGUGAGUGUUAGCUAUGGGUAUGGACUGAUUGUAUGCAAAGGUCAAGUAAUGUGUGACCAAGAAUACAUGUAAAUCUAUAAAUAGUGGAAAGCUCCAUAACUUAGCCUUAUGCAAUGGGUCUCCAGCAUGCUCAUUGGAAUCCCAUUGUUUUCUAGUUUCUUUAGUACUUGGGAAUGCUUAAGUAUCUGUUUCACAACUGAAAGUCUAAAUAUUUUGUUCCUCAAUUUUCAGUAAACAUUGUCGACAUGGCCAUGUUAUUCUCAGUAAAAUAGAUCCACUGGUCCUUGGGGUUUUGAAAAUCAUUCUUUUGGAAAUAUUGAUAGUUCUUACUGUACUGGAAAUUGAAAUACGUACUUCACAGUCAUAAUAUUGAUAAUUAUGUUUAAUAAAAGAAAAUAUAUCCA